UCCAGACUCCUACGGGAGGCAGCAGUGGGGAAUAUUGCACAAUGGGGGGAACCCUGAUGCAGCAAUGCCGCGUGAAGGAUGAAGGUUUUCGGAUUGUAAACUUCUUUUGUACGGGACGAAGAAAGUGACGGUACCGUAAGAAUAAGCCACGGCUAACUCCGUGCCAGCAGCCGCGGUAAUACGGAGGGUGCGAGCGUUAAUCGGAAUUACUGGGCGUAAAGCGCUCGUAGGCGGUAUGUCAAGUCAAGGGUGAAAUCCCCGCGCUCAACGUGGGAACUGCCUUUGAAACUGGCAAACUGGAGUGUGUGAGAGGAUAGUGGAAUUCCAGGUGUAGGAGUGAAAUCCGUAGAUAUCUGGAGGAACAUCAGUGGCGAAGGCGACUAUCUGGCACAUAACUGACGCUGAGGAGCGAAAGCGUGGGUAGCAAACAGGAUUAGAUACCCUAGUA
rnacentral:rRNA from 1 species